rnacentral:rRNA from 1 species
AAUGAACGCUGGCGGCAUGCCUAACACAUGCAAGUCGAACGAGAUCCUUCGGGGUCUAGUGGCGCACGGGUGCGUAACGCGUGGGAAUCUACCCUUGGGUUCGGAAUAACAGUGAGAAAUUACUGCUAAUACCGGAUGAUGACGUAAGUCCAAAGAUUUAUCGCCCAGGGAUGAGCCCGCGUAAGAUUAGCUAGUUGGUGGGUAAAGGCCUACCAAGGCGACGAUCUUUAGCUGGCUGAGAGGAUGAUCAGCCACACCUGGGACUGAGACACGGCCCAGACUCCUACGGGAGGCAGCAGUGGGGAAUAUUGGACAAUGGGCGCAAGCCUGAUCCAGCAAUGCCGCGUGAGUGAUGAAGGCCUUAGGGUUGUAAA